rnacentral:rRNA from 1 species
CCUAGGGGGGCUGCAGUGGGGAAUAUUGGAUAAUGGGCGAAAGCCUGAUCCAGCCAUGCCGCGUGUGUGAAGAAGGCCUUCGGGUUGUAAAGCACUUUCAGUGGGGAAGAAAGCCUUGGGGCUAAUACCCUCGAGGAAGGACAUCACCCACAGAAGAAGCACCGGCUAACUCCGUGCCAGCAGCCGCGGUAAUACGGAGGGUGCGAGCGUUAAUCGGAAUUACUGGGCGUAAAGCGCGCGUAGGCGGUCUGAUAAGCCGGUUGUGAAAGCCCCGGGCUCAACCUGGGAACGGCAUCCGGAACUGUCAGGCUAGAGUGCAGGAGAGGAAGGUAGAAUUCCCGGUGUAGCGGUGAAAUGCGUAGAGAUCGGGAGGAAUACCAGUGGCGAAGGCGGCCUUCUGGACUGACACUGACGCUGAGGUGCGAAAGCGUGGGUAGCAAACAGGAUUAGAUACCCUAGUAGUC